CUUAUCCCGACGGGUGGAGGGAACCGGCCCCGUGAAGCUCGGGCAACCUAUCUCGCAGGAGAAAAGGUGCCAAAGCCGGAAAUCCCCUAGGGGGAGAAAGAUGAGA
rnacentral:ncRNA from 1 species